rnacentral:rRNA from 1 species
AAGAGAGAGACAUGCGCGCAUAUCAAUAAGCGGAGGAAAAGAAACUAACAAGGAUUCCCCUAGUAACGGCGAGUGAAGCGGGAAGAGCUCAAAUUUGAAAUCUUAAAGGGUUUCCCUUUACGAAUUGUAGUUUAAAGAAGUGUUUUCUGUUGAGGUUUUGGUAAAAGUUCUUUGGAAUAGGACAUCAUAGAGGGUGAGAAUCCCGUAUUUGACCUUUACUUUCAACUUUGUGAUACACUUUCAAAGAGUCGGAUUGUUUGGGAAUGCAGUCCAAAAUGGGUGGUAAACUUUCAUCUAAAGCUAAAUAUUGGCGAGAGACCGAUAGCGAACAAGUACCGUGAGGGAAAGAUGAAAAGAACUUUGAAAAGAGAGUUAAACAGUACGUGAAAUUGUCAAAAGGGAAGCGUUUGACACCAGUGUUGUUUUUCUGAAAAUCAAUUAAAGAACUGUUUAUGCUAAGUUGUUUAGACUUUAUCAGCUAACUGUUUAGUUUUGAGCUUUUCUUUAAUGCACUUUUCAGUUAGCAAGUCAACAUCAAUUUCUUUUGCUGUAAAAAAGCUUGAGGAAGGUGGCUUGAGAUUCGUCUUAAGUGUUUAUAGCCUCUUGCCUAUGCAGUCGGAGAGAUUGAGGUCUGCAGCGUAGAUCCUUCGGGGCUAAAUGCAUUUGUGCUAAGUUAUAGCAUUUUAUAGACAACUUGUUAGACUAUGAUUUGUCUUGUAGCUUACUCGCUUAUGUUAUUUUACCUACGCUUAGGAUGUUGAGCGCAUGUCUCUCUCU